rnacentral:tmRNA from 1 species
GGGGGCGUAAAGGAUUCGACGGGGAACAGGAGUUUGUGUAAGCGAGUAGCAAGGUGGAACUGCUUUAAAAGUCACAAUUUUUCAAUUAAACGGAAAAGAAUCAGAAACAGCUUUCGCAGCUGCUGCUUAAUUAAAUAGGCAGACAUUUUACUUUAGAUAACCGCGACUACUGUAAAAUGACGAACUAGCGGUGAACGUGAACCAAAGAUUUUCUCGGCUUUGGUCACGCAUUAUGGGAAUACCAAAAUCAAAAGUUUUCCGACGAGCUCGUGAUUUUGGGAAUUUUUAAUCAUCGGAUACACUCGUAGAAAGCGCAGAUAAAUGUUUUUCGGACAGGGGUUCAAUUCCCCUCGCCUCCACCA